AAAUUCUAAGACUAGCCAAGAUGGGCCAUGAGAUUGGUGGUGUUAAUGCUUGCAUACCUGCUGCCCGAUAAAAUUUCCAUCAAUUCCAACAGUCAUUUAUCUAAAUUAUCCUUUUAGAAAUAGGAAAUGGUAAAAGUCUUUACACUUUACUCAUCAUUCAGCUUUCAAUUGCAAAACUACCAUAAAAUUAACAAAUAUUUUAAAGAAAGCUAAACAAAAAGUUUGAAGAUGAAAAGAACUCCCAAUCCUAAUGUCAAACCCAAAAAUGAUAUUUCAGCAUGGAUUGUCAACAAUUUUCUUUUAUUAUACAGUUGAAUAACUUCAUUAAAAAUUGAAUUCUCACCAAUACCAAUACGUUCACCAAU
rnacentral:misc_RNA from 1 species